rnacentral:rRNA from 1 species
UACGUAGGGUGCGAGCGUUGUCCGGAAUUAUUGGGCGUAAAGAGCUUGUAGGCGGUUUGUCGCGUCUGCUGUGAAAUCUCAAGGCUCAACCUUGAGCUUGCAGUGGGUACGGGCAGACUAGAGUGUGGUAGGGGAGACUGGAAUUCCUGGUGUAGCGGUGAAAUGCGCAGAUAUCAGGAGGAACACCGAUGGCGAAGGCGGCUCUCUGGACCACAACUGACGCUGAGGCGCGAAAGCUAGGGGAGCAAACAGG